CAUAUCCAGCCCUCUCAGCCGUUCCUCACAAGGCUUGGUUUCCAGACCCUUGAUCAACUUGGUCGCCCUCCUCCAGCUUGUCCAUAUCCUUCUUAAAUUGUGCUGCCCAGAACAGUAUUUCAGGUGCAUCAGAUCAGCGGACAUGGCAACUGCCAUUUCAAUGGGGAUGUGCAUUCAGCUGAUUGGUGCUUGGACCUAGAGAUGCGACUCAAUGGCCUGGUUUGCUCAUCACUUAAAACCAGUUAAGCUCAACUAUGACUUACUUUCCCCCCUUUUUAAGACACCGUCUUAUAACUUUUUCCCCUCAAAAAAACCACAGGGUGGCUUAUUUUCGGUGGGAUGUCUUAUUUUUAUUGCGUCAGUAUGGUAUGGUACAGCAAUCUACAUUUCUUCAAUUAAAAUUAAGUCAUCUUCUUCUGGAGCAUACAGUAAUAAAGGGGUUAUUUACUGGUAUCUCCUUGCUUCUUGCUCCCUCAGUCUCUGCUCAGUCGCCGUCUCUUGCAAUCAUCUCUUCCCCCCCUCACCUCUUGUUCUCUGGCUCCCAGCGUGCCAGCAACAGGAGGGGCAGGAAGAGGCGGGGUUUUUUCCCACCCCUCUCCCUGCGCACUGAGCAGGCAGUGCAGAACUCAGCGAGAGGCACGUCCCCCCCCCCCGCGCACCUCUCACUGGUUCGCUGGCUCCCUGAGCACGCAUGAAGGGCUGAGGAGGCGGCGGGAACAAUGGCGGCACCAUUGGCAGCUGAGGUGGUGACGGGAACAAUGGCGGCUUGCUUUCAGGUGACCAAACUGCGGGAGGCAGUGGAAGACAGGAGUGCCUGGCGUGCUCUGGUCCAUGGGGUAAUGAAGAGUCGGACACGACUAAACAACAACUAAUACUUUCAACCACUCCCUGCACAACAGACUGACAUUAGAUGGAUCUGCAUUCCUAACACUUAUACUGGAAAAACAAACUUUAAAUCAAUCCAUCAACAUAAGAAUUUAGAAUUAGAAUUUAAAAUAGUAGCACAAUAGUAGCACAAUCUGAAUACAUCUGCUUAUAGCUGGAGCAAUACAUUUUCCUUUUUAUCUCCCAGAACAAUGCUCUUUAACUUUCUUUUAAACCUCUGUUUGUCUGCCUAGAAACCAUUAUACACCUGCUGAUUAACUCUUAUUUGAGGCACAUUCUAGGCUGCACUCUAUGGUUAAAAUUGCUCCACUCAAACUGGGAGCACAGUCUAGAAUAUUCUGAACACCAUCCAGGGACAGUUUCCACCACAUUUUGUGGGAAAAUUCAGAACGAUACAAUAUCAUUCAAGCUACCUUUUAGGGAAUCCUAUCUUCCAUCAAUGAUCUUAUUGAGAAAACCCCUGAAGGAGCUUCAGGAAUCCUAAGAACACAGGCUGAAAAUCACAGACACAGAACAUAACUAAUGAACUUGAAAUAUUGAUUUUAGAAAUGUUAAUCUGGAAAGAGGAAAGGAAGGGGGACAUUGCUGUCCUAAGCACACUUAAUCAUCAACAUACCCAAUACAGUAAAUAUACUUGGAACUAGGAGCCAAAACUAUUAUUCUUUAACAAGCACUUGCUUCAUUUACACUCAUAACUGUGGUCAGCUGCAGAGAAUGUUACCUGAGA